rnacentral:tRNA from 1 species
GGUGCCAUAGCUCAGUUGGGAGAGCAAAGGACUGAAAAUCCUUGUGUCCCCGGUUCGAUUCCUGGUGGCACCA